GAUGAACGCUGGCGGCGUGCCUAAUACAUGCAAGUCGAGCGAACAGACGAGGAGCUUGCUCCUCUGACGUUAGCGGCGGACGGGUGAGUAACACGUGGAUAACCUACCUAUAAGACUGGGAUAACUUCGGGAAACCGGAGCUAAUACCGGAUAAUAUUUUGAACCGCAUGGUUCAAUAGUGAAAGACGGUUUUGCUGUCACUUAUAGAUGGAUCCGCGCAGCAUUAGCUAGUUGGUAAGGUAACGGCUUACCAAGGCAACGAUGCGUAGCCGACCUGAGAGGGUGAUCGGCCACACUGGAACUGAGACACGGUCCAGACUCCUACGGGAGGCAGCAGUAGGGAAUCUUCCGCAAUGGGCGAAAGCCUGACGGAGCAACGCCGCGUGAGUGAUGAAGGUCUUCGGAUCGUAAAACUCUGUUAUUAGGGAAGAACAAAUGUGUAAGUAACUAUGCACAUCUUGACGGUACCUAAUCAGAAAGCCACGGCUAACUACGUG
rnacentral:rRNA from 1 species